CGAUCGCGCUACCAUGCAGUCGACGGGCUCUUCUGAUCUAGUGGCGGACGGGUGAGUACACGUGAGAUCUGGCUCCCGGUCGGGGACAACAAAGGGAAACUUCUGCUAAUCCCGGAUGAGCCGAAAGGUAAAAGAUUUAUCGCCGGGAGAUGAGCUCGCGUCUGAUUAACUAGUUGGUGAGGUAAAGGCUCACCCAGGCGACCAUCAAUAGCUGGUCUGAUAGGAUGAUCAACCACACUGGGACUGACACACGGCCCACACUCCUACCGGAGGCAGCAGUGGGGAAUUUUCCUCAAUGGGCGCAAGCCUGACGGACCAAGACCGCGUGGGGGAGCCGAAGGACUCUUGGGUUGUAAACCCCUUUUCUCUCGUGAAUGAACAACAAUGACGGUACUUGAUGAAUAAGCCUCGGCUAACUCCUUGCCAGCCAGCCGCGGUAAUACGGAGGAGGCAAGCGUUAUCCGGAAUGAUUGGGCGUAAAGCGUCCGUAGGUGGCUGUUCAAGUCUGCUGUCGAAGACAGUGGCUUAACAUACUGAAAGGCAGUGGAAACUGAACAGCUAGAGUACGGUAGGGGCAGAGGGAAUUCCCGGUGUAGCGGUGAAAUGCGUAGAUAUCGUGAAGAACACCGGUGGCGAAAGCGCUCUGCUGGUCCGUAACUGACACUGAUGGACGAAAGCUACGGGAGCGAAUGGGAUUAGAUACCUCCAGUAGUCCUAGCCGUAAUCGAUGGAAACUACGUGUAGCCUGUAUCGACCCGGGCUGUGCCGAAGCUAACGCGUUAAGUUUCCCGCCUGGGGAGUACGCACGCAAGUGUGAAACUCAAAGGAAUUGACGGGGGCCCGCACAAGCGGUGGAGUAUGUGGUUUAAUUAGAUGCAACGCGAAGAACCUUACCAGGGCUUGACAUGUCCGGAAUCUUGGUGAAAGCCGAGAGUGCCUUCGGGAGCCGGAACACAGUGUGGUGCAUGGCUGUCGUCAGCUCGUGUCGUGAGAUGUUGGGUUAAGUCCCGCACACGAGCGCACACCCUCGUCCUUAGUUGCCAUCAUUCAGUUGGGCACUUUAGGGAGACUGCCGGUGACAAACCGGAGGAAGGUGGGGAUGACGUCAAGUCAUCAUGCCCCUUACGUCCUGGGCUACACACGUAGUACAAUGGGGGGGACAAAGGGUAGCCAAGACGCGAGUGUGAGCCAAUCCUGUAAACCUCUCCUCAGUUCAGAUUGCAGGGUGCAACUUGCCUGCAUGAAGGAGGAAUCGGUAGUAAUCGCAGGUCAGCAUAUUGCGGUGAAUCCGUUCCCGGGCCUUGUACACACCGCCCGUCACACCAUGGAAGUUAGCCACGCCCGAAGUCGUUACUCUAACCGUCGCGGAGGAGAUCCGAGAGCAUCAG
rnacentral:rRNA from 1 species